CUUGCUUCUUGAGCCGAGCGGCGAACGGGUGAGUAACGCGUAAGCAAUCUGCCCCAUAGUCGGGAACAACCAUCCUAACGGAUGGCUAAUGCCGGAUAUUGACGGACACUUCCUGGUGUCCUAUCGAAAGAUUUAUCGCUAUGGGAUGAGCUUGCGUCUGAUUAGCUUGUUGGUAGGGUAACGGCCUACCAAGGCAUUGAUCAGUAGCCGGCCUGAGAGGGUGAUCGGCCACAUUGGGACUGAGAUACGGCCCAGACUCC
rnacentral:rRNA from 1 species